UACGUAGGGUGCGAGCGUUAAUCGGAAUUACUGGGCGUAAAGCGUGCGCAGGCGGUUUUGUAAGUCAGAUGUGAAAUCCCCGGGCUUGACCUGGGAACUGCGUUUGAAACUACAAGGCUAGAGUGUGGCAGAGGGGGGUGGAAUUCCACGUGUAGCAGUGAAAUGCGUAGAGAUGUGGAGGAACACCGAUGGCGAAGGCAGCCCCCUGGGUUAACACUGACGCUCAGGCACGAAAGCGUGGGGAGCAAACAGG
rnacentral:rRNA from 1 species